ACAUCGGUAGCACAGUGGUUAGUGCAGUCUGCCGGAAACAGAAAGACGCGGGUUCAAU
rnacentral:tRNA from 1 species